rnacentral:rRNA from 1 species
GCAGGCUGAAAUUCGCCUGUAUGAAGCCGGAAUUGCUAGUAAUGGCAGGUCAGAAUACUGCCGUGAAUACGUUCCCGGGCCUUGUACACACCGCCCGUCACACCAUGAGAGUUGGGAAUACCCGAAGCCUGUGAGCUAACCGCAAGGGAGCAGCAGUCGAAGGUAGAAUCAAUGAUUGGGGUGAAGUCGUAACAAGGUAGC